UAACUUUGAUGAGGAGAUAUCUAAUGUUUAUUAUGGCUCUCGAAAGAUGGAAAGAUAGAAGAUUUGGAUCAAAGCUCUGAAAAUCUUUCAGAUUUUCGCAUUCUCCAAAAAUGCAAUAACGGAACAGAAAAACGCCUCUAUCGGAUUCCAGACCAUGUGUACUCAGAUUCGCCAUUUCGCUCAUCGAAAAGCCUAAAAUUCCGCAAAUCGAAGGAAAGAAUAGUCUUUCCAGUGCGCGGGCUCUGUAAAACCGAGAUCAAGAACAGAUAUUUCCGAUUCCGAUAUUUCAAUGCCAGAGCUUCGAUUUCUAUGACGAGAUUUCUCUGUUUCAGCAGCGAAAGACUGGAAUUUGUCCAAAAAUCCACAAAUAUCUCAGCAAAACUCU